UACGAAGGGGGCUAGCGUUGUUCGGAAUUACUGGGCGUAAAGGGCGCGUAGGCGGUGUGUCAAGUCAGGCGUGAAAGCCCCGGGCUCAACCUGGGAACCGCGCUUGAGACUGGCACGCUCGAGUUCGGGAGAGGAUGGUGGAAUUCCCAGUGUAGAGGUGAAAUUCGUAGAUAUUGGGAAGAACACCAAUAGCGAAGGCAGCUCGCUGGGACGGUACUGACGCUGAGGCGCGAAAGCGUGGGGAGCGAACAGGAUUGAGA
rnacentral:rRNA from 1 species